rnacentral:rRNA from 1 species
AUUCGCCCUUAGAGUUUGAUCCUGGCUCAGGACGAACGCUGGCGGCGUGCCUAACACAUGCAAGUCGAGCGGAGACAGUGAGUAGCUUGCUAUGAGCUGUUUUAUCGGCGGACGGGGGAGUAACGCGUGAGCAACCUUUCCCAAACAGGGGAAUAACGCACCGAAAGGUGUACUAAUACACUGUAAGACCACGGGAUCACCUGGUUCUGAGGGAAAAGAUUUAUCGGUUUGGGGUGGGCUCGCGGCCGAUAACGUAGUUGGUGAGGUAACGGCCCGCCGAGACCGGACCCAUCGGUAGCCAAACUGAGAGGGUGAUCUGGACACGUUGAGGACUGACACACGGCCCAGACUCCUACGGGAGAGCACCUAUGGGGAAUAUUGGGCAAUGAAUGAAACUCUGACCCAGCAACGCCGCGUGGAGGAAGAAGGUUUUUGGAUCGUUAACUCCUGUCCUUGGAGACGAGUAGAAGACGGUAUCCAAGGAGGAAGGCCCCGGCUAAUUACGUGCCACCAGCCGCGGUAAUACGUAGGGGGCAAGCGUUUUCCGGAAUAAUUGGGCGUAAAGGGCGCGUAGGCGGCUCGCUAAGUCUGGAGUGAAAGUCCUGCUUCUAAGCGUGGGAAUUGCUUUGGAUACUGUCGGCCUUGAGUGCAGGAGAGGUUAGUGGAAUUCCCAGUGUAGCGGUGAAAUGCGUAGAGAUUGGGAGGAACACCAGUGGCGAAGGCGACUAACUGGACUGUAACUGACGCUGAGGCUCGAAAGCGUGGGGAGCAAACAGGAUUAGAUACCCUGGUAGUCCACACUGUAAACGAUGAAUUGCUAGGUGUUGGGUUCCAAAGGACCUCGGUGCCGUCGCAAACGCAUUAAGUACUCCCCCUGGGGAGUAUGCACGCAAGUGUGAAACUCAAAGGAAUUGACGGGGGCCCGCACAAGCGGUGGAGUAUGUGGUUUAAUUUGAAGCAACGCGAAGAACCUUUCCAGGCCUUGACAUCCCUUGCAGAGGUAUAGAGAUAUAUCCGACGUUACCAAGGAGACAGGUGGUGCAUGGUUGUCGUCAGUCUCGUGUCGUGAGAUGUUGGGUUAAGUCCCUGCAACGAGCGCAACCCUUCGUGAUAUGUCACUAACAUUGAGUUGAGGAUUCAUAUCAGACUCCCGGUGAUAAACCGGAGGAAGGUGGGGAUGACGUCAAUUCUUCAUCCCCCUUAUGGCUUGGGCUCCACACGUACUCCAAUGGCGUCUACAAAGAGCGGCAAGCCUGUGAAGGCAAGCGAAUCUCAUAAAGGACGUCUCAGUUCGGAUUGAAGUCUGCAACCCGCCUUCAUGAAGUUGGAAUCGCUAGUAAUCGCGAAUCAGCAUGUCGCGGUGAAUACGUUCUCGGGCCUUGCACACACCGCCCGUCA